CUGGAGGAGACGGGCCGAGGCUGAGGAGCUGGUGGUGCUGGUCGGGAAAUGGCGGCAUUCAGGCGUUUUGAACAGAAACGCCUACCCGAAAGGCUUCUGAAAGUCUGGCCAGCAUUCAGCAGGGAGUUGAUUGCAGAAAAAAAGCAUGUGAUAGAGAUGAAUAUCCUUCUACCUUCUAGGUGACAACUUACACCAUGAACUGCUGACACUGACAUGAUGGCAGAAGACUGCUUUUCUAGUGCUACUCUUCAAUUUUAGCCUAGAACAAGAAGGAUUAGUGAAUAAAUGGAAUAUUCUAGAUGUCUUUAUAUUAGAGAAUCUGAGUGGGAUUUAAUAGAUCCUCUUUCUUAAAAGAUUUCCAGUUAAUUGUACAUUUUCAUAUAUAGUCGUAUUAUGCUUACUUGUCAUGUAAUCUGGAGCUGAGUGGAUU